rnacentral:lncRNA from 1 species
UGCAAUAUAUGAACUUAAUGAAACAUGGAAAAAUGUUUUUCAUUUUGUACCUCUUGAAGAGUCAAAGUCAAAGAGACGAGAAAUGAGGCUCAUGACUACAGUAGCGUUCCCAGGGAUUAAUAUGUUAAUGAAACCUCUACUAAAGAAAACUUUGCAAGAAGAGCCUACUGAGGAUAUCAGUGGUCAAGUCCAAAAUAGGGAUGAAGUUACUUCUAAGGUUGAUUCAGGUGUCGACUUGAUUAAUGGCUUCUCAGCUAUGGAAUUGACUGAUGUUGGAACAGAGCAUCAAAGAAUGCAAGAAGAUCCUCAUAAGGGUAUUGAUAUCCAAGCUGCAUCUGAGGUCGAAAUCCACAAUCUCGAUGAAGUUGCUGCUAUGGUUGAUUCAAGUGCCGACUUGACUAACGGCUUCCUAGCUAUAGAGUCGACUGAAGUUGGAACCGAGCAUCAAACUAUGCAAGAAGAUCCAAACAAAGAUAUCGAAUUUGCUGCUGCUUAUGAAUCAGGUGUUGAUGUGACUAAUGUUCUUGAAUAAUGCAUCUGAAGUGAAAUCUGAUACAGCCGGCGUUGAAGAAUCUUCAGGCCAAGAAAAUCACCUCGAUAAUCAUGAUGCCAACGCUGAAUCUUGCUGAUGUGAAUUCUGGAGGGAAAGCUGAAGAAGAGGAACAGGAACUCUGAAUUUCGUCCGGUCCUGACAGACACAAAGAUACGGGUAACCUCGUGAAGGGGCCGAGUGAUUGAAGUUUUCUUCAUCGUAUAAACUUGAUUUUGUAUAGGGGAAUCAUACCCGGGUUUUCGAUUACGUGUUUGUAACUAAUUUUUAACGUUCAUUUUUGGUAAUAGGGGAGAGUAGUCCUUAUUGACCUUUUUAUCAAAUGCUUUAGAACUUAUGUUUUUGGGUAAUAGAGAAGAGUUUUCAUUUUAAUAUCUUUUAGCGCUUGAUUAUUUUUAAAUUUUUAAUUAAUAUUAAUACGUAUGUUUAACCUCGUAUUGAACUACAUGCAUUGGAUUUUAUAGAAGAAUCAGCACUCUUGGUCCCUGAUACUACCAAAAAUCGUACAUGUUGAUUUCCUGAGCUUGAGGACUUUGAAUAAGCACGAUCAUGGUCUUCUGGUUCCUGAAACAAAGGCAACGAGGUGUGUUCUCGUCGACCCUCCGAUGUUUAAGUCAGAAAGAGAAUUAUAUGCGUGAUGCUAUAAACUAGACAAUAAUGAAAGAGUACCUAAAUAAUGACCC